GUUUACAAAGACUCACAAACACAAAUAUGAGACAUGGGUGGAUAAGAAAUCAAAACAUGUUGAGAAUGCUAUAGAACAGGCUACGCAAAAAGUGUCUGAAGAAGGAAGUAAUGCACCAAAUGAGAUGGAUGUGUGGUGUGAAAUAGCCAGA